UACGUAGGGACCGAGCGUUGUCCGGAAUCAUUGGGCGUAAAGAGCGUGUAGGCGGUUCGGUAAGUCUGCUGUGAAAGUCCAGGGCUCAACCCUGGGAUGCCGGUGGAUACUGUCGGACUAGAGUACGGAAGAGGCGAGUGGAAUUCCCGGUGUAGCGGUGAAAUGCGCAGAUAUCGGGAGGAACACCAAUUGCGAAGGCAGCUCGCUGGGACGUCACUGACGCUGAGACGCGAAAGCGUGGGAGCAACAGG
rnacentral:rRNA from 1 species